rnacentral:lncRNA from 1 species
CCCAAACAACCUGGUUUUUUGUUUCACAAUAGUCCCUUUGAAGCAGAGUCUUCAUCAGGCAACCAUGGAUCAUCUUCGAGAAACGAAAUAAGUUUAUCACUUUUAGACGCUCGAUAGAGGGUGAUAUGCUCCAAACCAUCAGUAAUGACUCCAAUCCCACUUGAUGUUUGGGGCAUGUGCUUUUAGAGCCAAUGCUAGUGAGAAAUGUUUCAGAAAUCAAACAUGCAAUCAAGUAUAAAUAGUGGUGUUUUGUUUAUUUCAUGGAUAGAUAAGAUUGAAGGGCCAAACUGAAGCUUCAUACAGUUAACAUGUACAAAUUCCAUGCAAUCUCUUCAUUUACAAGUUUUUGACUUAUCUUGUUUUCUACUGCAUUUAUGUAAUAUCAAGAGCCACCUAACCUUGUCAACUUGAAAAAUGAUAAUAUUAAUGCAUGAUGAGCCCAUCUUUCCCCUCAAUAUAAGUGUUAAUUAGUGUGAUAAAUGAAUCAACAAACUAACAUCAUUGUCUCUGUAUCAUUUUGUGCAUAAUCAAACAUUUGUUAUCAACAAGAAGAAAAGAUCAUUCAUACUACAGGGAUUGCUCAGUUCCUUUUGCUUAAAUCCAGAAGCGGCUAAGUACCAUGAGACUGUAACCUCUUUUUGGGGCACAAACGAAUGGACUUCACAUACAAGAUUAGUCAAGCUAACUAGCAAUUAGAUCUUUAACAGAGGCUAGGGAUUCCAAGGCUGUAGAGUUUUCAUCUUCAUCUUUGUUUCAUCGUAGUCCAACUCUUUGGUUAUGGGGGCUUCAAAGGAGUUGGAAGACGUAUCGAUGAGGUUGUCAGGGCGUCGCAAAACAAAAAGAAAAGGGAAGAGCACGCUGAUUGUACGUGACUGACAGCUGAUACGAGGUUGGCUUUGUCCUGUUGCAGACAAAGAUUUGGUGGGCCCAACACGUUGGCAACAAUAUCAAACGUAAGAGUGAUAAUAGAUUUGGCAAAGUCAUGAACACAUCACUCAGGGGAGGGGGAUUUGGCAAAAUUAUGGAGUGGUACUAGCAAUUAGAGGAAUGGGCCGACAUGCUUAAUGGGCUUGUAGUGCACUAGCAAUUUUUUAAUGGGCUUAUUGUGGAUCAAGGCAUGUUCUAAAGGGCUUCUUUUGAACAACAAAUAUUGGUUUUUUCUUUGUUAAAGUCAUUGUAGGAGUAGUCAUCAGCGUAAUUAAAAAACCGACAGUUCCGCUUGCCCGACGCUACUUUCCGCUUGGUUUUGUCAUAACAAUAAUGUUGACUUAAUAAUAAAUAAUUAUGUCAUUCACCAUGUAUUUUUGUUAGUUUUUGAAAGUUCUCUUUAGAUUUGCUGGCAUGACUUCAAAAUUAUAUAUAAUUAAAUAAUAUAUAUAUAUAUAUAUAUGUAUAGUAUUGUUUUGAAGAAGAAAAAGAAAGGAAAAUGGAGUUCUAUGUGCAAAAGAAUUGAUUUUAUUUGUUGAAUCAAAUAAAAAAUAAUUAAAUGUAUAAUUGAAAAAUCAUAUACAGAUUUUUUAAAAAACAGCAUAUCUAUUAAUUAGAAAUAAUAAUAAAUUAUAUAAAUAUGUGAUUAAUGUUAAUUGAUUAACUAUUUUAAAUUAAUUACAUUAAUGAAUUAACUAAUUAAUUAGUUAAUUAAGAUAAUUAACUAACUAUUUUAUUUCCAAAAUAAUUUAAAUUAAUUAAUUUAAUUCUUUAAAACUUAACUAAUUUACCAAAAAUAAAUAUUUAGUAAUUUCACAUAUUUUAAUAUAUAAAUAUUUAGUAUUUAAAUAUUAGGUUAGUUUUGUCAUGCUAUUAUUUAUUAUUUUAAGGGAUAAGGUUGAAAAAUUAAAAAUUUACCUGAAAAUAAUAAAUAAAAAGGUAAGUUUGAAAAUAUAAGGGUAAUUUUUUAAAUUUACAUUACAUUCUCAUACUUCCAAACCAAAGAAUACCAUCUAAUCUUCCCAGCAAUCAUAUUACAUGCAAUCAUCAUUUGUCUAUGAUAUAUAAAACGUUGCAAAGUUUUUUUUCAUUCAUCAUAUUCCCUACAAUUAUCAUUUUUUUAUAUUAUACAAAAUGCUGCAAAAUUCUUCUCAUCUAUCAUAUUCCCUACAGUCAUCACUUUUUCAUAUUAUAUCAAUGCUGCAAAAUUCUUCUCAUCAAUAACAUUCUCAAUAAUCAUAUUAUUAACAAUCACAUUUUCAAUAAAAUAUUAAAAAACCCGGUUUAUACUACUAAGAACAAACUAAUUAACAUGAAAAUAAGGGAAAUUGACACGAAGUCAAUUCUAUCGGUCCCUUAGGACUUGUGAUUGCAAUUUCUUGUAAAUUCAGCCUAAAAGUAUAGGAAGACUUGACUUUUUGGUAAUCAUGUCGACUUCAUAAUAGUUAUUGAGAAGAAAAAAUCUCCAUGACGUACGUUUUUUUUAAGUCUAGAUAUGCAUGUUUACUUAAUUACUUGCAUGUUGAGUGGUCUUGGUUUAAGUCAUAGUCUUACGGUCUAGUAGUGUACAAUGAAAUUAAUUUUAGAGGUUACUUUAUGAUAUAAUUGAGUGUAAAGUUCCCUGAUUUUUUUGUGUAACAAAGAACUUUAGCAUCUUGGGUUUAGCUCUACAUUAAGCUAGGGCAGACAAGAAUAUACCGUUUCAUAGUUUUUUAAACUUAACUGCAACUUAUUUCAGUUCCUAUUUAUCAAUAAUCUUAACUUGACAGCCAUCAUAGUUAAAUAUCUAGUUAAAGAUACUUCUAUCUCCAAGAAGAAGUUGAGACCUAUAGAAUAGUUGUAGUCUCUGUCACGAUUGAUGAAGAAUUCCAAGGUCAAUGGACCCAAAGUCUUGCCUUGAAGCCUGAAGGUCAAUGCUGUUUAGAAUGUUCAAUCAAAUGGCAUCUAUUCUUAUCUUCCCAGCAAAAGGCUUUCAGACCAUACAUCCAUGGGCAUGGAUAUCCUUUCUUUCAGUGCUUGUUUCCUCAUCAUCUUCUCGAAAGCUUCCAUCGCACUCGACAAGAUUUCUCCGUCUGAGUCACUCACUGAUGGCACGACCUUGGUCUCUAGUGAUGGAAGCUUUGCAUUGGGUUUCUUCACUCCGGGGAGUUCCAAGAAUCGUUACUUGGGAAUUUGGUACAAUAACAUCCCCAUGCAAACUGUUGUAUGGGUUGCAAACAGGAUAAAUCCAAUAAAUGACACCACUGGCUUGCUGAAGAUAGAAAGCUCUGGCAGAGUCGUGCUUCUAGGUCAGAACCAAACAACUGUUUGGUCAAUUAAUUCCACAGAAGCAGCUCAGAAUCCGAUUCUGCAGCUCCUGGAUUCAGGCAAUCUUGUUGUCAGAGAUGGAAAAGAUGGUGAUUCAGAGAACUACUUGUGGCAAAGCUUUGAUUAUCCAACUGAUACAAUGUUAGCAGGGAUGAAGAUUGGUUGGGACCUGAGAACUGGUUUAAAUCGAAGACUAUCAGCAUGGAAGAACUCAGAUGAUCCAUCUCCUGGGGACCUUACUUAUGGGGUAGAACUCCAAGGCAAUCCACAGAUGGUGCUGCGGAAAGGCUCAGAAAAGUACUAUCGCAGUGGCCUAUGGAAUGGCAAUGGGUUUAGUGGUGUACCAAAUUUAAGAUCAAAUCCGGUCUUUGAUUACGACUUUGUCUGGAAUAAGGAGGAGGUGUACUACAUAUUUUACCUGAAAAAUAAAUCGGUGAUGUCAAGGUUUGUUUUGAACCAAACUGAAAAGGUAAGACAGCGGUACACAUGGAACCCAGAAACUCAGACUUGGAAGUUGUUUUCAAUCAUGCCAAGUGACUAUUGUGACACACCUGGACUUUGUGGUGCAAAUGGGAACUGCGACAAUUCCAAGCUUCCAGCUUGCCAAUGUUUGAAAGCAUUCAGGCCUAAAUCGCUGGAAAGAUGGAACUCCUCAGACUGGUCUGAAGGGUGUAUACACAAUAAGCCAUUAAACUGUCAAAGGGGAGAUGGAUUUAUUAGAAUUGAGAGGGUGAAAACGCCAGAUACCUCACAUUCUUGGGUGAACAAAAGCAUGAAUCUUAAGGAAUGUAGGGCUAGGUGCUUGCAGAACUGUUCAUGUAUGGCAUACACUAAUUUAGAUAUUAGAGGAGGAGGUAGCGGCUGCGCCAUGUGGUUUGAUGAUCUAAUUGAUAUUAAACAAUUCCAAUCAUUUGGCCAAGAUCUUUACAUCAGAGUGUCUGCUUCAGAAGCAGGUAUCAGUUUAAAAUCGGAACAUAUUCUUGUUAAAGCUUGUGAUAAUUUCUUUUGGAAAUUGUUUAAUUAUAUUUGUGCUCCUUCAACAAUAUUGAUCAUGCAGAACUGAAAAACAAGUCUGAGGCGAAGCUGGCCAUGAUAAUUGCAACGCCAAUUGCUGUGUUCUUGGGGCUUCUUGUAGUCAUAUAUUACAUCCGGAGAAGGAGGAGAAAAUUAGAAGGUAAUAUCAACCAUGGUCCUCAUAAAGCAGGGGAAAGUUGGUAUUUGCUAUCAAAAUCAAUUUCGCCAACAGCAGCGCUAUCAAAUCCCUGCCCUGUUUUCAAGAAAACAGUAAUACUGAAAUUUGCCAUUUCAUUAUAUUCCUUAUCAAAUUUGAUAAUAGAUGGUUUUUAAUUUUGUUUUAUGAUCUGACAAAAAAGAGAGUCCAUGAACAAUUGGUUGGAUACUUUUGGUUUUGGUGUUCAGAAGAAGCAUACAGCUUUUGUUCUUCUCUCUAAAUCUAUCAAUAUGCAUAAGAAAGCCCAUUUCUAUGUUGAAUGCUAGCCUAUUUUGACUACUGUUUCAGAUGAAGUUGAAGAAAGGAUUGAAAAUGACCAAAAGAACCAAGGCCGGAGUGAAGAUAUGGACCUUGCUGUAUUCGAGCUUGGUACGAUAGCCAGAGCUACAGAUAGUUUUUCUUUUCAUAACAAGCUAGGUGAAGGAGGUUUUGGACCUGUUUAUAAGGUAAAGUUGACAGCAUAUUACUACAAUGAUCUCAAUUACAGAGAAUUCAUCUUCCUUGAAAGCUCAUCAAAAUGUUCUUAUUCUCCAGGGGACACUUGCAAAUGGACAAGAAAUUGCUGUGAAAAGACUUUCAAAGAGUUCCGGACAAGGAUUGAACGAGUUUAAAACUGAAGUAAAGUUGAUUGCCAAACUUCAGCAUCGGAAUCUUGUAAGGCUUCUUGGGUGCUGCAUUCAUGGAGAGGAGAAAAUGCUGGUUUAUGAAUACAUGCCUAACAGAAGUCUUGACUCAUUUAUUUUUGGUCAGAAACCUUUCAAUUUUAUAUUGUCUGCUCUCGGCUUAUGAAAUAGUUUUCUUUUGCUGCUUCAAAGGAUCAAAUAGAUAUAGAAUUAACAUGAAUGCAGUAUUUGACAGAUCAAAGAAGAUGCAAAGUAUUAGAUUGGCCCAAGCGUUUCCAAAUUAUCUGUGGGAUUGCUAGGGGACUCCUUUACCUUCAUCAAGAUUCCAGAUUGAGGAUUAUUCAUAGAGAUCUGAAAGCUAGUAAUGUUCUACUUGAUAGUGAGAUGAACCCAAAAAUUUCAGAUUUUGGCAUGGCAAGAACUUUUGGAGGAGACCAGACUGAAGCCAAUACAAACAGAGUGGUUGGAACUUAGUAAGUCUACUUUUUCUGCAAAUUUGAUCUAUAGAUCCCCAUGAAAAUGCAUACUUUUAUCUGACAAUGUCCUGCAGUGGUUAUAUGGCACCAGAAUAUGCUAUCGAUGGCCUGUUUUCGGUAAAAUCAGAUGUGUUUAGCUUUGGCAUAUUGUUGUUGGAGAUAAUAAGUGGAAGAAAGAAUAGAGGAUUCUAUCAUAAAAAUCAAAGCGGCAACCUUAUUGAACAUGUAAGCCUCAUUGUCAUUAUUUUUUAUUACAUAUCUUGAAUUGAUGAAUGAUAAAAGAAUUUCUUUUUGCUGCAGGCAUGGAGAUUAUGGAAAGAAGGCAAGCCUUUGAAUCUUGCUGAUGAUUUCUUAGCAGAGACUGGCAGUCUAUCACAGGUGUUACGAUGCAUCCACAUUAGCCUUUUAUGUGUACAGCAGCAUCCUGAGGGGAGGCCAAGCAUGUCAUCCGUGGUUCUGAUGUUGGGAAGUGAGAAUGAAUUGCCUCUGCCCAAACAACCUGGUUUUUUGUUUCACAAGAGUCCAUUUGAAGCAGAUUCUUCAUCCGGUAACCAUGGAUCAUCUUCGAAAAACGAAAUAAGUUUAUCAGUUUUAGAGGCUCGAUAGAGGGUGAUAUGCUUCAUUAAACCUAUUAUGCUCCAAACUAUCAGUAAUGAUUCCAAUCCCACUUGAUGUUCGGGGCAUGUGCUUUUGGACCAAAUGCUAGUGAGAAAUGUUUUAAAAAUCAACAUGCAAUCAAGUACAAAUAUUAGUGUUGCAUUUAUUCCGUGGAUAGGUAGAUUGAAGGACCAAACUAAAGCUUCAUACAGUUCAGAUAUAACUGAAGCUUCAUACGGUUAAGAUGUACAAAUUUCAUGCAAUCUCAUCACUUACAAGUUGCUGACUUCUCUUGUUUUCUACUGCAUUUGUGUAAGAUCAAGAGCCACCUAAUCUAGCCGGCUUGGGAACCUCAAUAUGAGUGUUAAUUAAUUAGUGUGAUAAAUGAAUCAACAAACUAGCUUCAUUGUCUCUACAUUAUUCUGUGCAUAAUCAAACCUGUGUCAUCAACAACAAGAAAAUAUCAUUCAUGACUAGGAUUCCUCAGUUCCUUUGCUUGACUCCAGAAGUGAACUUAGUACCAUGAGACUGUAACCUCUUUUUGGGGCGCAAACGAAUGAACUUCACAUACAAGAUUAGUCAAGCUAAGUAUCAAUUAGAACUUUAAUAGAGGCUACAGAUUCCAGGUUGAAAGAAGCUGGUGAGGUCUUCAACAAAGAUAUGUUGCAGUUUUAAGGCUGUACAGUUUUCAUCUUCAUCUUUGUUUGGUCGUGGUCCAACCCCUUUGCUUAUGGGGGCUUCGACAGGCGUUGGACGACACGUUGAUGAGGCUGUCAGGGCGCCUUAAAACAAAAAGAAAAGGGAGAGCGUCCUCAUUGUACGUGACUGACACCUGAUACGAGGUUGGCUUUGUCCGGUUUCAGACAGAUUUGGUGGGCCCAACACGUUGGCAACAUUAUCAAACGCGAGAGUGAUAAUAGAUUGGCAAAAUGAAGAACACAUCUCUCACGGAUCCACUUCAGUGAGAUAUGGUGAGGGUCUUACGAUUAUAAAUAUAAAAUUUUUACUAUUUAUUAGAUAUAUUUUUUGAUUUGAUAACAUGAUAUUGUAAUUUAUAAAUUUAGAGAUGUCAACUGGUAGGAUAUUCGUUAAUUUUGAGAUACUAAAAUCUGAAUUCGAUUAAAAAAUAAAAUACCCAAACUCGAUAAUUACCUGAAUUUUUUUUAAAUUUACUAUCCUAACUCAAAUCCUAAUACAUAAUCACUACCCGAUAAUUACUCGAACCCGUUUAAAAAUCUGAUUAUGUAAAAAAUUAUUAAAAUACUCUUUAUAGAUACCCAAUUACCCAAACUCAAAUCUGUACCUGUAUCUAUAUACAAUAAUAUUUUUAUUCAUAUUUUAUAUAAUUCACCAAUAAUUAAAUUUAUAAAAGCACAUAAAUAAUAAAAUUUAAAUUUAAAUAAUCAAAAACAAAUAUCUCAAAUAUCAACUUAAAUAAUUAAAAACAAAUAUUAAACUACAACUUAAACAUUACAAGUUUAAUUAACUAUGUGGGUUUAUCCAUGAAAUUAAAAAAAAUAAUUAUAUUCCAAAAUUAUUCUAAUCUUAUAAUUUCUUUUUAGGUAUAUAUUUUAUAAGUUUAUAUACACAAAAGUAUAUAUUAUAAAUAAUAAUUUUAUAAGUUAUAUUUUCUAUAAUGUUAAUACAAUAUAGCAAGUAAACAUGUUUAUAUUUAAAGUAUAUAUACAAUAGUAAUUGUAUUCUUCAUAAAUUAACACAAUAUAUAAAAUAUAUGUAUUAAAAGAUAUUACAAGUUAAUUAAUAAUCAUAGUUUUAUGAAUUAAUUUAAUUAAUAAUAUGAAUUUGUCUUGAAUUACAUAAAAUUAAAAAAAUAUAUAAUCAGAUUCGGGUAUCGGGUAUCCAAAGGGUGAUAUUUGAACCCUACCUGAACCCGAUACAUGUAUUUUAGGGUACUUUAACUUUAUACAAUCAGAUCAGGUACUCGUAAGUACCCUGUAACAGGAUACCUAUAGACAUCCCUAUAUAAACUUACUUAAAUUUAUUAUUCUUAAUUUUUUAAAUACAUUUUUAUUACCCAUAAACUGUUUAUUAAGUUUACGACUCAUAAGUAUUUACAAACUUACAAUAAUAUAAUAAUUACGGUAAAAUAAUUUUUUUUAUCAUUAAAUUAAAAGUUUUAAUGAUGCAACUUGUCUAUUUCUUUUUGAACAUUAUGAAACUCAUAAAAAUAUUAUUAUUAUCAUCAUAGUCUUAGUUGAAAAUGAUGGUCAACAUCUAAAAAAAAGUGAUUAUCUUCUAGAAAAAGAAUUGCCUCUGCCCAAACAACCUGGUUUUUGGUUUCACAAGAGUCCCUUUGAAGCAAAUUCUACAUCAGGCAACUGCAGAUCAUCUUCUAGAAACGAAAAAAGUCUAUCAAUGUUAGAGGCUCGAUAGAGAGUGGUAUGCUUCAUUAAACCUAUUAUGCUCCAAACCAUCAGUAAUGACUCCAAUCCCACUUGAUGUUUGGGGCAUGUGCUUUUAGAGCCAAUGCUAGUGAGAAAUGUUUCAGAAAUCAAACAUGCAAUCAAGUAUAAAUAGUAGUGUUUUGUUUAUUUCAUUUUGCUGCAGGCAUGGAGAUUAUGGAAAGAAGGCAAGCCUUUGAAUCUUGCUGAUGAUUUCUUAGCAGACACU